CUGUGGAAAAAGUUUUACUGGAAAACCGAGUUUAACUAAGCACAUGAUGAUUCACACUGGUGAAGAGGCGUAGAAUUGUUUUCCAUGUGUGUCCUAUGUUGAGUUUCCCUAUAAAUUGAUUUGGUUAAAAACUAGAA